rnacentral:rRNA from 1 species
CCUACGGGAGGCUGCAGUGGGGAAUAUUGGACAAUGGGGGCAACCCUGAUCCAGCCAUGCCGCGUGUGUGAAGAAGGCCCUCGGGUUGUAAAGCACUUUCAGUGAGGAAGAACGCCUGGUGGUUAAUACCCAUCAGGAAAGACAUCACUCACAGAAGAAGCACCGGCUAACUCCGUGCCAGCAGCCGCGGUAAUACGGAGGGUGCGAGCGUUAAUCGGAAUUACUGGGCGUAAAGCGCGCGUAGGUGGCUUGAUAAGCCGGUUGUGAAAGCCCCGGGCUCAACCUGGGAACGGCAUCCGGAACUGUCAAGCUUGAGUGCAGGAGAGGAAGGUAGAAUUCCCGGUGUAGCGGUGAAAUGCGUAGAGAUCGGGAGGAAUACCAGUGGCGAAGGCGGCCUUCUGGACUGACACUGACACUGAGGUGCGAAAGCGUGGGUAGCAAACAGGCUUAGAUACCCUUGUAGUC